rnacentral:rRNA from 1 species
GACGAACGCUGGCGGCGUGCUUAACACAUGCAAGUCGAACGGAAAGGCCCUGCUUUUGUGGGGUGCUCGAGUGGCGAACGGGUGAGUAACACGUGAGUAACCUGCCCUUGACUUUGGGAUAACUUCAGGAAACUGGGGCUAAUACCGGAUAGGAGCUCCUGCCGCAUGGUGGGGGUUGGAAAGUUUCGGCGGUUGGGGAUGGACUCGCGGCUUAUCAGCUUGUUGGUGGGGUAGUGGCUUACCAAGGCUUUGACGGGUAGCCGGCCUGAGAGGGUGACCGGCCACAUUGGGACUGAGAUACGGCCCAGACUCCUACGGGAGGCAGCAGUGGGGAAUAUUGCACAAUGGGCGGAAGCCUGAUGCAGCAACGCCGCGUGCGGGAUGGCGGCCUUCGGGUUGUAAACCGCUUUCGCCUGUGACGAAGCGUGAGUGACGGUAAUGGGUAAAGAAGCACCGGCUAACUACGUG